rnacentral:tRNA from 1 species
GCAGUCGUGGCCGAGUGGUUAAGGCGAUGAACUAGAAAUCCAUUGGGGUCUCCCCGCACAGGUUCAAAUCCUGUCGACUGCG